rnacentral:lncRNA from 1 species
GAAGAACUCCAGUAAAGAUCCAGAACUCGGGCUGUGCUUUUUCAUAAAGAUGUUUUUAAUGGACUUUGCUGCAAUGUUUUCAGUUGAAAGCAUUCCUUCUUGAAAUUUAAUCGUCCAUUACAGACUACUGUCUCUCAGCCCUUUGGAGCACUCACAUCACAUCCAGACCUGCACAAAAUGGGACAAGUUCCAUGAUGUGGACUCUGGCCUCAGGCUAUGUUUCCUGUCAAACAUUCUUCCAGCUUGACUUGCUCAUGCAGAAGUGGUCCGGUGUGGAUGUGAAGGCAUGCUGUUUUCUUGCAGAGCAAACAAGAAGUGGGAAUGUUUUACAGCAUGUAUUCACGUGCAGUUUUGAUUUCCAAGUCCACGUAUUGCUGACAUGUAGCUGCCUUCUCCAGCGCUGUUGUUCUUUGCAAUUGUUCUGCAAAUGCUGCUUUGUGCAAGGCAGGUCUGUGAUGUGAAACCCAUCAAAGAAGCCCCAUGUCCC